GAUGAACGCUGGCGGCGUGCCUAAUACAUGCAAGUCGAGCGAACGGACGAGAAGCUUGCUUCUCUGAUGUUAGCGGCGGACGGGUGAGUAACACGUGGAUAACCUACCUAUAAGACUGGGAUAACUUCGGGAAACCGGAGCUAAUACCGGAUGAUAUUUUGAACCGCAUGGUUCAAAAGUGAAAGACGGUCUUGCUGUCACUUAUAGAUGGAUCCGCGCUGCAUUAGCUAGUUGGUAAGGUAACGGCUUACCAAGGCAACGAUGCAUAGCCGACCUGAGAGGGGGAGCGGGCAGACGGGAACAGAGACACGGACAAGACUAAUACGGGAGGCAGCAGUGGGGAAUGGGUGGCAAUGGGCGAAAGACUGAAGGAGCAAAUUAGGGUGAGAGAUGAAGGGAUUAGGAUCGUAAAAAUCUGUUAAGAGGGAAGAACAUAAGUGUAAGUAACGGUGCAGAGCAAGACGGUGCAUAAGAAGAAAGACAAGGAUAACGAAGUG
rnacentral:rRNA from 1 species